rnacentral:pre_miRNA from 1 species
GUAAGUCUGACUGAUCACACUUGUAGGACUUCUCCCUUUAAGUAUACAGGGGAGAAACCUUUCAGGUGUCUUCAGCAUGGCUGAA